rnacentral:rRNA from 1 species
GGAGGAACNCCGGUGGCGAAAGCGGCUCUCUGGUCUGUAACUGACGCUGAGGCUCGAAAGCGUGGGGAGCGAACAGGAUUAGAUACCCUGGUAGUNCACGCCGUAAACGAUGAGUGCUAGGUGUUGGAUCCUUUCCGGGAUUCAGUGCCGCAGCUAACGCANUAAGCACUCCGCCUGGGGAGUACAACCGCAAGGUUGAAACUCAAAGGAAUUGACGGGGGCCCGCACAAGCGGUGGAGCAUGUGGUUUAAUUCGAAGCAACGCGAAGAACCUUACCAGGUCUUGACAUCCCGAUGCUAUUUCUAGAGAUAGAAAGUUACUUCGGUACAUCGGUGUCAGGUGGUGCAUGGUUGUCGUCAGCUCGUGUCGUGAGAUGUCGGGUUAANNNNNNCAACGAGCGCAACCCCUAUUGUUAGUUGCCAUCAUUCAGUUGGGCACUCUAGCGAGACUGCCGGUAAUAAACCGGAGGAAGGUGGGGAUGACGUCAAAUCAUCAUGCCCCUUAUGACCUGGGCUACACACGUGCUACAAUGGUUGGUACAACGAGUUGCGAGUCGGUGACGGCAAGCUAAUCUCUUAAAGCCAAUCUCAGUUCGGAUUGUAGGCUGCAACUCGCCUACAUGAAGUCGGAAUCGCUAGUAAUCGCGGAUCAGCACGCCGCGGUGAAUACGUUCCCGGGCCUU